rnacentral:rRNA from 1 species
GAUGAACGCUAGCGACAGGCCUAACACAUGCAAGUCGAGGGGCAGCACAUGAGUAGCAAUACGAUGGUGGCGACCGGCGCACGGGUGAGUAACACGUAUGCAACCUACCUGUAAGAGGGGAAUAACCCGGAGAAAUCCGGACUAAUACCGCAUAACAUUGUUUUUCGCAUGAAAAGACACUUAAACAUUUAUGGCCUACAGAUGGGCAUGCGUAUGAUUAGUUUGUUGGUGAGGUAACGGCUCACCAAGGCAUCGAUCAUUAGGGGUUCUGAGAGGAAGGUCCCCCACACUGGUACUGAGACACGGACCAGACUCCUACGGGAGGCAGCAGUGAGGAAUAUUGGUCAAUGGGCGAGAGCCUGAACCAGCCAAGUCGCGUGAAGGAAGAAGGUUCUAUGGAUUGUAAACUUCUUUUGUAAGGGAAUAAAAAGAGUUACGUGUAACUUAUUGUAUGUACUUUACGAAUAAGGAUCGGCUAACUCCGUGCCAGCAGCCGCGGUAAACA